UACGUAGGGUGCAAGCGUUAUCCGGAAUUAUUGGGCGUAAAGAGCUCGUAGGCGGUUUGUCGCGUCUGCCGUGAAAGUCCGGGGCUCAACUCCCGAUCUGCGGUGGGUACGGGCAGACUAGAGUGUGGUAGGGGAGACUGGAAUUCCUGGUGUAGCGGUGAAAUGCGCAGAUAUCAGGAGGAACACCGAUGGCGAAGGCAGGUCUCUGGGCCGAUACUGACGCUGAGAAGCGAAAGCAUGGGGAGCGAACAGG
rnacentral:rRNA from 1 species